CAAUAAGCGGAGGAAAAGAAACCAACAGGGAUUGCCCCAGUAACGGCGAGUGAAGCGGCAACAGCUCAAAUUUGAAAUCUGGCCUUCGGGUCCGAGUUGUAAUUUGGAGAGGAUGCUUUUGGCGCGGCGCCGUCCGAGUUCCUUGGAACAGGACGCCAUAGAGGGUGAGAGCCCCGUACGGGCGGCCGCCUAGCCUUUGUAAAGCUCCUUCGACGAGUCGAGUAGUUUGGGAAUGCUGCUCAAAAUGGGAGGUAAAUUUCUUCUAAAGCUAAAUACCGGCCAGAGACCGAUAGCGCACAAGUAGAGUGAUCGAAAGAUGAAAAGCACUUUGAAAAGAGGGUUAAAAAGUACGUGAAAUUGUUGAAAGGGAAGCGCCUGUGACCAGACUUGCGACCCGUGGAUCAUCCGGUGUUCUUCACCGGUGCACUCCGCGGGCUGCAGGCCAGCAUCGGUUUUCCUAGGGGGUUAAAGGUCGCAGGAACGUAGCUCUUUCGGGAGUGUUAUAGCCUGUGGCGUCAUGCCUCUGGGGAGACCGAGGACCGCGCUUCGGCAAGGAUGCUGGCGUAAUGGUCACCGGCGACCCGUCUUGAAACACGGACCAAGGAGUCAAGCAUUGGGGCGAGUGUCUGGGUGCCAAACCCGCACGCGAAAUGAAAGUAAACGCAGGUGAGAGCUUCGGCGCAUCACCGACCGAUCCUGAUGUCUUCGGAUGGAUUUGAGUAAGAGCCUUACCGCUUGGACCCGAAAGAUGGUGAACUAUGCCUGUAUAGGGUGAAGCCAGAGGAAACUCUGGUGGAGGCUCGCAGCGGUUCUGACGUGCAAAUCGAUCGUCAAAUAUGGGCAUGGGGGCGAAAGACUAAUCGAACCAUCUAGUAGCUGGUUACCGCCGA
rnacentral:rRNA from 1 species